rnacentral:lncRNA from 1 species
AGAAGCAGAGACAGAGGCAGAGGGAGAAGCAGACUCUACGCAGCAGGGAGCCCGACGUAGGUCUUGAUCCUAGGUCUCCAGCAUCACGCCCUGGGCUGAAGGCAGGUACCAAACCACUGAGCCACCCAGGGAUCCCGGAGGAAGAGAUUGUUAUGUAAGAGGUAUGUAAGUCGAUUCUGUGACUUAUGGCAUUUUUUAUUCUCCUAGAAAGGACUGUAAAGUUUAUAGAUAAACACGAGGGUUAGUAAAUCAAUCAUAUGAAUUUAAGAACACCUACUGAAGAUCAUCAUGCUAGUUACUAAGAUCAAGGAGGCAAGAGGAUCCCCAUGAGGUGCCCUUGUGCCAAGAUUCUGCUCUCCAAUACCAUUUUUUCAAUAAAAGGAACCAAGGCUUUUUGGAGAAAAGGUGGAUCCCAUGUCUGAGACAGAACUGUCCAGAAUGAGCUUGGAACACCUUGUGCUAGAAAGCAAGAGGUUAGAUUAACGGAGGUGAUGGGGCACAGAAACUCAUCUAAAAGGAGCUGAUGGUUUAAAAUCUUCACCAAGUUUUGCUGGCCAAACUGUUCAGAGUGAGACAGUCUGAACAUCAAAGCAGAAUACUGGCAGGUUGAUUGAUAAACAGUAGAUCUGAGCAGUCAUGAGUUGUAACAAUACACACACAACAGUUGUCAAAGAGUAAGUGAAUAACAGGCCACAUUACAUUCCUGACUCAUUCAGGUUCCCAGUUUUAAAAAUUCAGCAUAUUCCAUCAGGCUUACGAUACUAUGUUGAUUUGAAAGUUCUCUGUGAAAUCUACUUUAAAAAGUUAGGAACAGGGGAUCCCUGGGUGGCGCAGCAGUUUAACGCCUGCCUUUGGCCCAGGGCGCAAUCCUGGAGAACCGGGAUCGAAUCCCACGUCAGGCUCCCUGCUUCUCCCUCUGCCUGUGUCUCUGCCUCUCUCUCUCUCUGUGUGACUAUCAUAAAAAAUAAAUAAAUAAAUAAAUAAAUAAAUAAAUAAAUAAAUAAAUAAAUAGGAACAGAAAAAGGAUAGUGAGAGAUGAUGAUGAACAACUCUACUCACAUAAAUUCAACAAUCUAAAUGAAAUGGAGCAGCUCCUCUGAGAGCACAAACUACCAAAUCUCAUCCGACACGAAACAGAUCAUUUUAAUAGCCUUGUAACUGUUAAAUUUGUCAUUUUAAAAACCCCUAAAAAAGGGAAAUCUCAGGCCUGGAUGAUUUCAUGGCCAAAUUCAACUAGAUGCCUGAAGAAUUAACGAUACUACACAAUGUUUUCAGGGAAACCGAGGAUGAAGGAAUACCGCUCUAUACUUCUCAUGAUGCUGGUGUGGGGCUGAUACCCAAACCAGGCAACAGUAAGUAGCACAAUACAGAAAACUACAGAUCAGUGACCCUCAUGAGCACAGAUGCGACAAAGUCAUCAACAAGAUAUUAGUAAAUGGAACCCAGCAACAUUAAAGAGAAUGCGAUUCCAUGACCAAGUGGGGUUUGUCACAAAGAUUCAAGACGGGCUCAGUACUUGAAAAUCAAUUAACAUAGUUCACCAGAUUAACAAACACGUUAAGAGGAAAACCUCACAUGGUCCUGUUAAUUGAUUCAUAAACAGCAUCCAACAUAGUAUCAGUCAAGAUAACAACUGUCAGGAAAAUGGGGAUAGAGGAGAUCUUCCUCCACCCGAUAAGGAACAUCCUGCAAAGAAACCUAAUGCUACCACCAUACUACUGACGGGACGGCGUGUUCCCCGAGAUGGGGAGGAGGCAAGCUGUGCUCUCGGACCGUUCCUGUUCAACAAGUACCAGAAACCAGCAAGAAUGUCCUUCAAUACCCCCACCCGCUGCGCUACUUUGGCAGAACGGGCAGGGACGAAGGCCUGGCACGUACAGGACGGAAACGGAAAUGGUUCAUCAAGUGCAUUCAGGACAAGCGGCCCAGGUAAGAUCAGAGGAGCAGCUAUACUUUUCUUUCCUUCUGGAGUAAGUGUCAAGUUGACUCUUAAUUUUCCAAGAAGAUACUGGCCUUUAAUUUUUUUUUUUUUUUUUUUAGCAUUAGCAAAACACACCUACUUUAGAAAUCUGAGAUGAACACCACUGCAGCUUAGCAAAGAUGGACAGAAAUCUUAGGGAUGGCCUAGCGUAAUACUGUCAGCACCUCUCCAUGCUUGGUCCGUCGGGACAGUGACAGUCGAACCUGAUAGGUGAGGACACUGAACACCCAGAUUAAAUCCCGUGGCCGCAGCCAGAGUGUCCAGCACAAGUUGCCCCUGCCUGGAACGCUCCUCUCCCUGGGGCAUAGCUCCUACCUCUCUUCCAAACACUCCCCCGACCUCUAAUGCAUGAAUCCUCCUGGUCCCCUUGGAUGUGGGAAGCAAAGGCAAAAGAAAACUUAAAAUUUCCUCCCUAAGCCAAAUGUCAAAGUCCCUGAAGCAGGUUGCAGACUGACCUUCCUUGGGGGCUGGGAUGCCCCCAUGUGGACACUUGCUAAGGGCAAGAGGCAAUGUCAUCCCGAACCCCAGGAUCCUUUGGAAACCUCCGGUCUCUACCCCCCAGAUGCAGGUGGGCGCUCAUCCCCCAACACACGCCCCACAGAUACCCCUCUGAGGGGUCUCAUGACUGAGCUGACACUAAACACUAACAGUGACCUUCUCCCAACCAGGUAGCCCCUCAGGAUCCUGGAAAACACCGUUGGAGGUCUGUCCUGCCCCCCCCCCAAAGUAGAAAGCCAGCCCCUCAGGACCUCAGCACAGCUCCUUCUGCCCGGCGGAUCUUGCCUGAGUUUCACUAAAACCACCUUUUGGCAUCAGAGGCCUCAAGAGUUCUUUCUUGGCCCUGGGCCGCAGACCCCAACACUUCCACGUCACCCUUACUCACUUUACUUCGGUCUUCCGCAUCAUUCGUCCUUACACACUUGC